rnacentral:rRNA from 1 species
GAUGAACGCUGGCGGCGUGCUUAACACAUGCAAGUCGAACGGAAAGGCCCAAGCUUGCUUGGGUACUCGAGUGGCGAACGGGUGAGUAACACGUGGGUGAUCUGCCCUGCACUUCGGGAUAAGCCUGGGAAACUGGGUCUAAUACCGGAUAGGACGAUGGUUUGGAUGCCAUUGUGGAAAGUUUUUUCGGUGUGGGAUGAGCUCGCGGCCUAUCAGCUUGUUGGUGGGGUAAUGGCCUACCAAGGCGUCGACGGGUAGCCGGCCUGAGAGGGUGUACGGCCACAUUGGGACUGAGAUACGGCCCAGACUCCUACGGGAGGCAGCAGUGGGGAAUAUUGCACAAUGGGCGCAAGCCUGAUGCAGCGAGGCCGCGUGGGGGAUGACGGCCUUCGGGUUGUAAACUCCUUUCGCUAGGGACGAAGCGUUUUUGUGACGGUACCUGGAGAAGAAGCACCGGCUAACUACGUG